rnacentral:lncRNA from 1 species
AUUUACGAAUGGACAAUCUGACAGCACAGUUGCAGUCACCAACGCUCUGGAUAAUGUAACAGCCUAACCAGCUCUGCUAGGUCAUUGGCAGCAGAGAACCGGAAGGAGAGGCGGCCGAAGGAGGAAUUGGCUUUGGGGGUGACCAGUGAGAUAUACCUGCUGGAGCGCGUGCUACAGAUAAGGACUGUCACAAUCCCGCCGGUACUGCUGCUCAUUCCGUUCACCAGCAUCAGAGGUCUACGUCGCCGGCCUUCUUGGCGUCACUGAACUGGAUUCAUUACAACCAACCCCGGACUGUCUUGCCUCAUUACACACACCUGGUUCCCAUUCCCCCUGAUUAGUAUGUGUAUAUAUAUGUGCCCUCUGUUCCCUAUUGUCCUUGUCGAUUAUUGUUCCAUGUCCGUAGGACUUGUGCUCUGUUGUAUCGGCUUUCGUGCUACGUGUUAUUGUGCACUUGUUAUUACGGGUCUCAUCCCGUGUAGUAUUUAGAGGUUUACACCUUGCUCUUUUGUUUGGGUUACAUCCCUGUGUGUGUGUGUGUGUGUGUGUGUGUGUGUGUGUG